UAUUAUGCACAUUUUCUAGUUCA
rnacentral:miRNA from 1 species